AUAACUGCUGAGAUAUUCGGAUCAUGAACGUCGUUGUCGCUAUCGCGCACGUGUUUCUAAUUGCCAGCACUCGUUCAUUCGACUACGAUAACUACGGUACACUGGCGUACGAUCGUUCGCUGCAUCCUUCUUCGUCCGCGUCCUCGUUUUACGGCUGGUUCUCGAGAUUACGAACACCCGAACAACUAAAUGGAAGAUCAGACGAGUUGAAAGUUGGCGGUGGCGGUACCGACGCCGGUGCCGGUGUCACGAGUCCUAGCGAACCAGAAGGAUUAUCGUUUAAUUCAAAAGUUAAGCAAGCGCAGGAUUUGUCGAACGGCGAUAACGUGUUCGGUAGCAAGAAGGUGCGAUUCGACGUAUCGUUAAGAGGGAUCGAUGCGCGAAAGCCUUCUGUCUCUAAAGAAAAUUCGUGGAACGAGAGCCACGAGGACGAUGGAAGGUCUCGAAAUGUGCGAAUGUUUCGUCGACGGACGGGGUUCGCCGGAAACAAGAAUCGGCAAAUCGACCAAGAUAAAUUGACUCGUUUUACUGUAACAAGUUUGACCGAGGACGUCGCGAUUCGAGAACACGUAAACCGAGCUACCGAGAACGAGGAAGGAAAACGCGUAGCCGAACAAGGCGCUAGAGGCGACGACGACGAGAGAAUUCGACAAACGCGGCGGUACGUUAACGAUAGUAUUCGUUCGGACGAUAGAAUCGAAAAGAGACAAAGUCUACGAAAUUUCCUUGAUCUGUUGAGGCGAAGAACGAAUAACGGCGAAUUCGAGGAGUCGGUGGUAACGAGUUACAGAGAAGGACGAGGAAGAGGAGGAAAACUGAAUAGUCAGCAACAGGGCAACAUCCUCGUCGAAGCUCUUAGGAAGAAACGAAAUUACACCGAGGAUCAUCGAGGUCAUAACAGUGAUCUUCAAAAUAGCAUAAUGGAUAUGUUGGGUAGAAUGAUACCGCAAACGUGUACCUAUAAAGGGACGACUUUUGAUUGCGGUCUCAGUAUCAGUUGCGUUCUGGGAGGUGGUCGCCCGGUCGAUCUGUGUUCCGGAGGAUUGAUUUGGAGUUGCUGCGUCGACGACGAUGACAUACCUGAAAAAAUACCACGGCCAUCAACGGGCUUGCUACAAAACGCCACGCUUUCGCUAAACUUGGGAAACCAGCAUCCGUACGUGGAUGACGACGUUCGAGUGUACGAGAACGCGGCAAGACCGAGCAAACCGACGUAUACCGGUCAGAACGGACACGGGCCGGGCUACCUGUAUGCCGUCGACGUCGCGAACAAGCCGACAACGAUCAUGGCAGCGACGACGACGACGACGACGACGAUGACGACCGUGUACGAGUCGUCGCAAACGUGGAAUUACGAUCGGCCCGCGCACGGGAACCGUCCCUCGCUUUAUCAUCCGUUUCAACAUGAUUAUGCGCAGGCCGAAUACGAUGCUAAUUAUCCUGACGUUUCGGGGCUGUACGCGCUGAACCAGGACGUUUCUAAUUCCUUGGAUUAUUCGAAAUAUCGUGGUAAUCCCUGUCGAAUCGCACGGGUCACACGGAUCGCAUGGAUCGCACGGCUCGCAUGGAUAGCACCACUCGCACCGAUAGCACACGGACUUUCGCACCGAUACUAGUAUAGUUCGAUCUUUCUGUUAACUGUUAUUCUUCAAAUGUCGUUUACGCCAUGUUACGUUAUUUCGUACGCGUAACGCUGCUUGGAUGCGCGAGGAGCACGCUCUCGGCUAACGAAUAAAUAUUUCCGAAUCACUUUCCUUAUCUGUGGCGCGUGUGCGACGAAAAACGGAAAAAGACAGGAAAUAGUCUAUUUCUCUGUCUCUCUCUUUGUCCCCUCCGUUUGAUUUUUCUACUCCGGUAAUUUGCACGUUCUUCCGUGGUGGUUUUGCCAUCGUUGGUGACAGAACUGAUUAGAAAAUAAGUACGAGAAGACAAAGACUGUAAAAGGAGGAAGAAAGACGGAGAAAAGAUAGAAAGGGAAAGGAGAAGACAGAACGCGGUGCGUGUUCGAUGUUAGGCGAUGUUAGUAUAAUAGAUCGAUUUGGUUAUCGAAAUCCUUGCUCUUGUCUCUUUUCUCCUUCGGUCGAAAAAAAACUGAUAUGUUUCUCGAUUUAUAAAAUAGUUUUCUUUGCACACGAUUUUUCUUGAUAUCCUCUUGCAGGUUGCGGUGAACUUUAUACGAGAAGUAACAGAAUCGUCGGUGGACACAGUUCCAGUUUCGGUACCCAUCCGUGGCAAGCUGCCAUUAUCAAGU